rnacentral:sRNA from 1 species
UUUCAGAGGGUCCUCCGCGGAAGGGCAGCUGAAUGGACUCCAAAGCAGCCUUAACCCUGCAGCCUUUGUGCCCAUCACCAGCUCUACAGAGGGCCAAGAUGGGUCGCCGAGCUCAACAGGAGUCAGUGCAGGCCGAGAAUCACCUCAAUGGCAAGAAUUCCUCUUUGACUCUGACUGGAGAGACUUCCUCUCCUAAAUUACCUCGCUGCCGACAGGGAGGCUGGGCAGGUGAUUCCGUGAAGGCUUCGAAGUGAGUACCAGCAGCUCAUAAGAGUAGGGGUGGGGGUGCACACGAUUGGGGGGACUUUGCUCCUGUGUUGUUUUAUUUUUUACAAUAGCUUUAUUUAGAAAAAAUUUACAUACCAUACAAUUCACCCACUUAAAAUGUACAAUUUAAUCAUUCUUAAUAUAUUCACAGAGUUGUGCAACUAUUAACACAAUCAAUUUUACAACAUUUUUAUCACCUCCCCACCAAAAGAAACCCUGU